CUUCAGUUGUUGGCUAGAGCAYGUGCUCGAUCCGAUUUUCGGUUUUCCUGUGCUGAAUACCUAUCACGAAGGCAUUCUGUCGGCUAAAAAUGUCCCUUUCCCGCCUUGCGCUGCRUGCUCCUCGUGAACAAGCGGUGCGGGGUGGGCCAUAUCGUGCACGUCGUGUAUCGCACCGCGUUCGACCCUYCGGGGCGUUCGGGUUGACGACCCACGACGUGAUGCUCGAUAUCUCGGAUACGGAACAUCACGUGGGUACGAGGCCAUCGGCCUCCGAGCACCACAAAAAAGCGUUCUACGCUUCGUGCGAACGACCGUCGUUCCCGGCCUUGCGCCGCGCUCUCGUAGCUCGRUUCAAGUCGGGCCGACGUCGGUGAG
rnacentral:misc_RNA from 1 species